rnacentral:tRNA from 1 species
GCCCGGUUAGCUCAAUCGGUUAGUACUCCUGGCUCGUCCCGAGACAAUUUCAUGACUGCGGCUAACCCCCCCAAAGGUAGAGCGUGAGACUCUUAAGAGCACACGAUCUCAAGGUUGCGGGUUCGACCCCCGCAUCGGGCU